AACCACUUCGGUGGGGAUUAGUGGCGAACGGGUGAGUAACACGUGGGCAAUCUGCCCUGCACUCUGGGACAAGCCCUGGAAACGGGGUCUAAUACCGGAUACUGAACCUUGCAGGCAUCUGUGAGGGUCGAAAGCUCCGGCGGUGCAGGAUGAGCCCGCGGCCUAUCAGCUAGUUGGUGAGGUAAUGGCUCACCAAGGCGACGACGGGUAGCCGGCCUGAGAGGGCGACCGGCCACACUGGGACUGAGACACGGCCCAGACUCCUACGGGAGGCAGCAGUGGGGAAUAUUGCACAAUGGGCGAAAGCCUGAUGCAGCGACGCCGCGUGAGGGAUGACGGCCUUCGGGUUGUAAACCUCUUUCAGCAGGGAAGAAGCGAAAGUGACGGUACCUGCAGAAGAAGCGCCGGCUAACUACGUGCCAGCAGCCGCGGUAAUACGUAGGGCGCAAGCGUUGUCCGGAAUUAUUGGGCGUAAAGAGCUCGUAGGCGGCUUGUCGCGUCGGUUGUGAAAGCCCGGGGCUUAACCCCGGGUCUGCAGUCGAUACGGGCAGGCUAGAGUUCGGUAGGGGAGAUCGGAAUUCCUGGUGUAGCGGUGAAAUGCGCAGAUAUCAGGAGGAACACCGGUGGCGAAGGCGGAUCUCUGGGCCGAUACUGACGCUGAGGAGCGAAAGCGUGGGGAGCGAACAGGAUUAGAUACCCUGGUAGUCCACGCCGUAAACGGUGGGCACUAGGUGUGGGCAACAUUCCACGUUGUCCGUGCCGCAGCUAACGCAUUAAGUGC
rnacentral:rRNA from 1 species